AGUGAACGCUGGCGGUAGGCCUAACACAUGCAAGUCGAACGGCAGCACAGUAAGAGCUUGCUCUUACGGGUGGCGAGUGGCGGACGGGUGAGGAAUACAUCGGAAUCUACUUUUUCGUGGGGGAUAACGUAGGGAAACUUACGCUAAUACCGCAUACGACCUACGGGUGAAAGCAGGGGAUCUUCGGACCUUGCGUGAUUGAAUGAGCCGAUGUCGGAUUAGCUAGUUGGCGGGGUAAAGGCCCACCAAGGCGACGAUCCGUAGCUGGUCUGAGAGGAUGAUCAGCCACACUGGAACUGAGACACGGUCCAGACUCCUACGGGAGGCAGCAGUGGGGAAUAUUGGACAAUAGGCGCAAGCCUGAUCCAGCCAUACCGCGUGGGUGAAGAAGGCCUUCGGGUUGUAAAGCCCUUUUGUUGGGAAAGAAAAGCAGCAGGUUAAUACCCCGCUGUUCUGACGGUACCCAAAGAAUAAGCACCGGCUAACUUCGUG
rnacentral:rRNA from 1 species